AGCGGCUCGGUGCUGCCCACAGCCUCGGCCGGUCCCGCGGCUCCUCCCCAGCGUUCGGGAAGAUGACCCCGCCCGGCCAGGAAGUUGCCUUCUGAACUAUGUAACUUCUCAACCCAAACUGGCUGCUUUUGUCACACAAGCUCUUGUUCAAGCCAUUGCUAAAGUUACCAAAUUAGGAUGGUUUGACAUACUGAAAGACCAGCUUGUCUUCAAGACAUCAUUGCUGAUGUGGAAGAAUUCUUGCAGGACACUGUGGACCAUUGUAUCAUAGGAGUAAUGAUUCUCUCAGAACUGACUAAGGAAAUAAAUCUAGAGGCCAGAAAUUCACCACCCCCUAACAGAUGUGUGCCUCGUGUGGAACUAAUAAAGAGAACUGAAUAAUCGACUCUUUUGGUUGUGUUGCUGCUAAUGAUUGUCCUUUUCUAUCUUGACCCGAAGAAGUGCUUCAGACCUUUCCAUCCAAAGGUCACCUGACAAGGUGGUUCCUUGGCCAAACCUUUAACCCUUUGCGAUCGAUGGCAACGAAGUCUAGCAGUGCAUCUGUUGAAGCUUGUACUAAAUUGUCAAUUUUGAUUUCAUUGGAAACUCAGCUAAUGAAUCUGCAGAUGACCUAUGCACUGUGCAGAUUCCAGGAACUGGAGAAGAAGUAAGAAAGAAUCGCAUUGCUAGUAAUUCCUUCCUGGAGCCAAAGACCUUGGACCUGUUUUUUGAUUUGUGUCAUUGCCUUCUACCAAUGUUGGCUCGUUCAGUUUGCUUCUACAAGGAGAUCUUUAUUCAGCAAUCCAGAACGUGCCAGGUAUCUUGGUAAUCUAAUCAAAGGAGCGAAACAAAUACUUGAAAAUCCACAGGGUUUAUCUGAUCCCUCGAAUUCUGUCGGUUCUUGGCUCAGCUGAUGACAAACCAUCAACUAGGAGAGUUAGUGACAGAUUACCCAGAAGUUUUCCAGCUCAUAGCAAACUGUACUGUUACUGGCCUACGGGUAGGAACGCAUACUGAAGUUUUCUGUUCUGUUCUACUUUUGAAAGACAGAGAAGUUGAUCCCGAUUUGCUUUGUUGAUUUAGGUGUGUUUUGAGGAUGUGGUGAGCCUUGACUUGACAUAGAAAUGUAUUAUUAGUGAUGCAACAUCACACAGAUGCAAUAUCACAUAGAAGUAUACUGUUAGUGAUGUUACUUCUAAAAUCUUUGCAGCUGGUUCCUGUUAUGCCUACGGAGUUCUGUAAUGGGACUAGGUUUAAAGGAGGAAUAGAUGACUGAAAUAGGACCUAGAUGUUAAUCCUCCAGCUCUAGUCCUUACCCUAAAAAAAAAAGGCAAACUAGACCCUCUGUCCAGGUCUAAAAUGCUUGAACCUGUACUCCCUUUUGAACUUAGUGCCUACACUGACUAGGUGCUUGAAGCUCUGGCUUUGCAUCUUUGCAUCUCUAAAUUUUUGUGUGCAUACAUAAAUAAACGUGUACAUGUGUAUGUACAGUUGCCUAUAUGCUGAGCUGCUAAGUUGGAUUCAGAAACUGGGUGAAAUAGAGUCUAAAUUUGUGAGGGGUCCCUGCAUACCUGUGAAAGAUGUAGAGGAAAGACCUGAUCCUGGAAGACAGGACCAAGAUUCUCACACUUCUUAAAAAUCUUACAGAUUUUUUUGGGUGUGCCCACUGUUUGAGUAACACUGUGAUUGUUAAUUUACUGUUUCCUUUGGAAGCUUUCUCUGUUCUUCGUUACAGCAGUGGAAGAUAAUACCCAGGAGUAGGGUGCUGCUCCUGUAGGCCAGAGUGUCAGUGGGUAGCACACUGCAGUAAGUGUGAGCGUGGUCUCUGGUGUGUUCCGUAACAUCUCGAUUCUGACAGGGUCCUUCAGUAUUUAGCACUGGGAGUUUGCUCCAAAUAGCGUUUGUUAUUUGGUAACUCUGUGGCAAAGAAUGGAAGCAUCUGUACCUUUCGUGAAAACAGCAGAACCCUGCCUCUUAGAUCCGUGUGCACCUGAGAUAACAAAAGCUUAUAUUACUUCCAGACUGGAGUGUGUUCCUGCAGUAGUAAGAGAUGGCCUGGAAGAUUCACUGGAUGAUCCAGCUACAGUUUUCCAACAAGUGGAGCAACUAUGCAGUUAGCAGGUGUGGAUGUGAAAAGAUCUGUACACUUCUUGGACAGUUGUUUGACCAAAAUGCCCAAAAAUACCGAAAACUAUUGCACUCCUCUAGUAGGAAUCCAUUAGAAGUCACAGUCCAGGAAGGACGUCUGGCACGGCCUGUCUACUUUGUGGGUACUUUCGUGGGGGGAAGAGUAAUGUACACUAGCUCUGUUGAACAUGAUGCUAUGGAUGGAGAAUUACCCUGUCAGUGUAUUCCCGCAUGUCAGAAGUCUGAGGAAUAACAGAUGACAGCCAUGUUCUGGAAACAGUUAUGACAAAAAUUGUUACAAACCUUAAACGCUGAGGAAGAUGUGAGCCUGUGAUUUCAAGAACUCUCCAGUUUCUAAAUGACCUUUCUGUUGAAUA